UUUGCUGAGAGCAAUUUUUUUCAACACACUGAGGCGAUGAGGGAGAGAGAAAGGAGCAGAGAGUCAGUGAGAGAGAGAGAGACUAGGGAAAUCACGUUGUGUUACAGACUUUCUCUGUUAAGGGAAAAAGUUGAUUUCUUUCUCAUAUUCUUUUGCUUAUUUGAUUGAAUUUUUGGAUUUUUAUGAGUUUUUCCUUGUUGGUUGCUUUGCUUGCAGUGUUGGAUCAUGAAGAUUUUGGGUUUGUGGACACAAAUGGAGGAAGAGAAGGACGCUCUUUGGGGCUUAUAAGAGUCUGUCAGAGUGAUUUCCAAGCUCAAGUCGGUCUUCUAUAAUCUUUUUCAUUCUCAAAAUCUAAAUUUCUGACUUUAUCUGUGUUUGAAAUGGCUGUGUAAAAGUCAAUUUCUUUUUGGGUUUGUCUCAUAUUUUACAUACCCAGUUGAGUUUGGCCUUGUGGGUCUUCUUUAUUUGGAUAAAUUUCCUGUUUGUUGAUAUGAAUUCCCCAAAGUUUGUUAGGAUGGCUUCUACCGGUCAAAUUCGGCUUCUACAUGACUUGUGCUUUCAGAUUGAGAGAUGAGGGAUUAAGAAGAUAAAUUUAGGAUUUAGAGCAACUACAAAGUAACUUUAUUCGUGUUGUACGUCUCACAAUCUUGAUUUGAGUUUCUAGAUUACAGCACAGGUGCAGCAAAUUCAAGCACACAAAGAAGAAGGAUAUAUAGCUUCAUCAUUAGCUUAAAGGAGCAAAUGAUUUUAGCACAUAUUGAUAAAGGGCAUUAUUGAAAAUUGAGGGUCAAGUGAUAUACAAAUAAUUUGCAUUUUAUAUUUUCAUAUAUCUCUGCAAUGAUAUAUUGCUUUGUCAUGUAUUUUUAUUUGUCUCAUAUAGCCUCUCAUCAUCGGAAGGUUGGGUUGUCAUAACAUGCUUAGCUCUUAUGUUUUAGCGUAAAGCACCGUUAGGAGCAUUCAACUUCUGUUUUGAUUUACAUUAUAAGGAUUCUAUACACAACCCCGUAGGAGAUGUG